AAGCCUGUGAAGAAUUAUUUAAAUUGGAAUUACCGUCUGAAGAAUUUUGAUGUGAAUUUCUGGCUGACCGAGGCUUCAA
rfam:Lupinus angustifolius cultivar Tanjil chromosome LG01, whole genome shotgun sequence.